AUGCCAGCGCCAAAUUCUAUCAGCAUAGCCGUGAUAUGCUCCAGUAAUAUGAACAGAAGUAUGGAGGCGCACGCUUUCCUAAGCAAAAAGGGAUUUAAUGUGAAAUCGUUUGGUACUGGGGAUAAAGUCAAAUUACCUGGUACUGCGCCAGAUCGUCCCAACAUCUAUGACUUUGGAACUUCAUACGAUGAGAUCUACAAUGAUUUGUUAAUGAAAGACAAGCAAUAUUAUACACAGAAUGGUUUACUACAUAUGUUAGAUCGGAAUCGUCGGAUAAAACCUAGACCAGAAAGGUUUCAAUUAUCCAAGGAUAAGUUCGAUAUUCUAAUUACGUGCGAAGAACGCGUGUAUGAUCAAGUAAUUGAAUGCAUGGAAUCUAGGACUAAAGAAGAUAAUCAACCUGUUCAUUUGAUUAAUAUUGAUAUUCAGGAUAAUCAUGAAGAGGCCACAGUAGGAUCGUUUCUUAUAUGCGAACUAGUGACAGUGUUGGCCAAUAGCGAAGACUUAGACAAUGAUAUAGAUGAACUACUUCAUGAAUUUGAAUCUAAAUUCGUAAGAACAAUAUUGCACACUGUGCUAUUUUAUUGAAAAUCCGUCAUCAACAUGAAAAUCAUCAGGAAUCCGGUGUUCAUCAAAUUCGAAACUAUUUAUAACAAAUUGAAUUGUGUAUAAUUUACUGCACGUACAUAUAUUCAUCCACUGAAUCAAGUGGAUUGAAUUUUAACUUGAACGGAAAAAUCGGUUUGUGCUUCCUACUUGACGAUUAUUUCCGCGGAAUCUAAUUCUGAUACAGUCCACUGUUGAACUUGAUAGUCGAUUAUGAAAUUCACAUCACAUCACGAUUAAAUGGAAAAUGUAGAAUGAUAUCAAUCUUUAGACAUGAAACGAAGAAAUAUUGAGAAUAAAGGAAGAAUAUAUCUGUAUAUAUAAAUUCAGAAGAAGAGAGAGAGUUGUGUUAUAUGCAACCAUACAGCUACAUAACGUAGCUGUUACAAAGCUAAUAAAUUCAGAAAAUGCAAAA